CCAGCAUUUCUUGGGCAGGCUUCUUAUGUGGCCAUAUUUUCUUUUCUAGCUCCUCCCUGCUAUAUGGAUAUCAUUCCUGAAGAUCACCGAUUGGAGAGCCCCACCACUCCUCUGCUAGAUGACAUGGAUGGCUCUCAAGACAGCCCUAUCUUUAUGUAUGCCCCUGAGUUCAAGUUCAUGCCACCACCUACUUAUACUGAGGUGGAUCCCUGUAUCCUCAACAACAACGUGCAGUGAGCAUGUGGAAGAAAAGCAGCUUUACCUACUUGUUUCUUUUUGUCUCUUCCUGGACACUCACUUUUUCAGAGACUCAACAGUCUCUGCAAUGGAGUGUGGAUCCACCUUAGCCUCUGACUUCCUAAUGUAGGAGGUGGUCAGCAGGCAAUCUCCUGGGCCUUAAAGGAUGCGGACUUAUCCUCAGCCAGCACCAAUGUUGUGAUACAGGGGUGUUUGUUGGAUGGGUUUAAAAACGACUAGAAAAAUUCAGGCCCAUGCAUUUUCUCA
rnacentral:sRNA from 1 species